rnacentral:rRNA from 1 species
UACGUAGGGUGCAAGCGUUGUCCGGAAUUAUUGGGCGUAAAGAGCUCGUAGGCGGUCUGUCGCGUCUGCUGUGAAAACUCGGGGCUUAACCCCGGGCCUGCAGUGGGUACGGGCAGACUAGAGUGCGGUAGGGGAGACUGGAAUUCCUGGUGUAGCGGUGAAAUGCGCAGAUAUCAGGAGGAACACCGGUGGCGAAGGCGGGUCUCUGGGCCGUAACUGACGCUGAGGAGCCAAAGCGUGGGGAGCGAACAGG